GAAACAGUCAAUUUUGCAUACAAGAGACUAAUUGUUUAGCAAGCAGUCACAUAGUACCGAGUGGCUUGCCGUACAGGAACAUCAACCAUGCGGACUUUAUUCCUGUUCACCAAUUCACGGCACCUCCAUAUGUAAAUGUACAACCGUUGAUGGGUAACAGUCACAUAAUAAUUUAUAAUGCAACUGAGGCUCGAGUAGUACCAUAUGGAAUACUGUAUUGUUAUCAAUCAACGGAACCAUUUGAUAUAAGGAAUUGCAAAAUCAGUCUCCCUCCGAUCCAGCAAGAGAAAGUAGGAAUACAGGAAACA
rnacentral:lncRNA from 1 species